GUCAGUGUAUUUGGCUCUAGUCAAUCAGGUCCCCAGCCAGUCACUGUCAGUGUAUUUGGCACUAGUCAAUCAGGUCCCCUGGCAGUCACUGUCAGUGUAUUUGGCACUAGUCAAUCAGGUCCCCAGACAGUCACUGUUAGUGUAUUUGGCACUAGUCAAUCAUGGUCCCCAGGCUGUCUCUGUCAGUGUAUUUGGCACUAGUCAAUCAUGGUCCCCAGGCAGUCACUGUCGGUGUAUUUGGCACUAGUCAAUCAUGGUCCCCAGGCAGUCACUGUCAGUGUAUUUGGCACUAGUCAAUCA